rnacentral:rRNA from 1 species
UUAUUCUUACGGUACCCUCAAUGGCUCCCGCAGGAGCUUUUUGUUCCCGUACAAAAGCAGUUUACGACCCUGAGGGCCUUCAUCCUGCACGCGGCAUGGCUGGUUCAGGCUUGCGCCCAUUGACCAAUAUUCC